GCUGGUGUGGUGUUGUGGUUUGUGUGCUGGACUACGACUCUGGAGAUCAGGGUUCGAUUCCAUGCUUGGGCA